UACGGGGGGGGCAAGCGUUGUUCGGAAUUACUGGGCGUAAAGGGCUCGUAGGCGGCCAACUAAGUCAGACGUGAAAUCCCUCAGCUUAACUGGGGAACUGCGUCUGAGACUGGAAGGCUCGAGUGCAGGAGAGGAACGCGGAAUUCCAGGUGUAGCGGUGAAAUGCGUAGAUAUCUGGAGGAACACCGGUGGCGAAGGCGGCGUUCUGGACUGCAACUGACACUGAGGAACGAAAGCCAGGGGAGCAAACGGG
rnacentral:rRNA from 1 species